rnacentral:rRNA from 1 species
AAGUGGGUAGGGCGCCAGUCGCCUGCUUAAGAUGUAGUCGGGCCUUGGGGAAACCUCAAGGGCGGUGAUCACAGAUUGCAAAAGGGGAACAUUGGGAGGAGAAGAUGCAAUGGUACUAUGCUAUGCUAUCUCUUGUGCUAGGCGCCAAUAUGCCACUCUCAGUGCGCAUCGCGCGCCUGUGUGCAGAACUUGGCAAGGCGCAUUGCUAUCCUCAACCCAACGCUUCCUCUCUUGCCCUCUGUGGUCGCGAAGCAAGACCGUUCCGUAGGUGAACCUGCGGAAGGAUCAUUA